rnacentral:rRNA from 1 species
UACGGGAGGCAGCAGUGGGGAAUAUUGCACAAUGGGCGAAAGCCUGAUGCAGCUAUGCCGCGUGUAUGAAGAAGGCCUUAGGGUUGUAAAGUACUUUCAUCGGGGAGGAAAAAACAAAACUAAUAAUUUUAUUUCUUGACGUUACCCGAAAAAGAAGCACCGGCUAACUCCGUGCCAGCAGCCGCGGUAAUACGGAGGGUGCUAGCGUUAAUCAGAAUUACUGGGCGUAAAGAGCACGUAGGUGGUUUUUUUAAAGUCAGAUGUGAAAUCCCUGGGCUUAACCUAGGAACUGCAUUUUGAAACUGAAAUACUAGAGUAUCGUAGAGGGAGGUAGAAUUCUAGGUGUAGCGGUGAAAUGCGUAGAUAUCUGGAGGAAUACCGUGUGGCGAAAGCGGCCUCCUAAACGAAUACUGACACUGAGGUGCGAAAGCGUGGGGAGCAAACAGGGAUUAGAUACCCGU